rnacentral:tRNA from 1 species
GGAAGGGUGCCAGAGUGGCUGAAUGGGCUCCCCUGCUAAGGGAGUAAUCCCGUUGGGAUUCACGAGUUCGAAUCUCGUCCCUUCCGCCA